GCUCCAAUGGCCAAGUGGUAAGGCGUCUGACUUGUAAUCAGAAGAUCGGUAGUUCGAUCCUGCCUUGGAGCA